rnacentral:rRNA from 1 species
GAUGAACGCUGGCGGCGUGCCUAAUACAUGCAAGUCGAGCGAACGGACGAGAAGCUUGCUUCUCUGAUGUUAGCGGCGGACGGGUGAGUAACACGUGGAUAACCUACCUAUAAGACUGGGAUAACUUCGGGAAACCGGAGCUAAUACCGGAUAAUAUUUUGAACCGCAUGGUUCAAAAGUGAAAGACGGUCUUGCUGUAACUUAUAGAUGGAUCCGCGCUGCAUUAGCUAGUUGGUAAGGUAACGGCUUACCAAGGCAACGAUGCAUAGCCGACCUGAGAGGGUGAUCGGCCACACUGGAACUGGGACACGGUCCAGACUCCUACGGGAGGCAGCAGUAGGGAAUCUUCCGCAAUGGGCGAAAGCCUGACGGAGCAACGCCGCGUGAGUGAUGAAGGUCUUCGGAUCGUAAAACUCUGUUAUUAGGGAAGAACAUAUGUGUAAGUAACUGUGCACAUCUUGACGGUACCUAAUCAGAAAGCCACGGCUAACUACGUG